rnacentral:sRNA from 1 species
UCAGCUUGUAAGAGGUGGAUGCUCGACGC